AGUGAACGCUGGCGGUAGGCCUAACACAUGCAAGUCGAACGGCAGCACAGUAAGAGCUUGCUCUUACGGGUGGCGAGUGGCGGACGGGUGAGGAAUACAUCGGAAUCUACUUUUUCGUGGGGGAUAACGUAGGGAAACUUACGCUAAUACCGCAUACGACCUACGGGUGAAAGCAGGGGAUCUUCGGACCUUGCGCGAUUGAAUGAGCCGAUGUCGGAUUAGCUAGUUGGCGGGGUAAAGGCCCACCAAGGCGACGAUCCGUAGCUGGUCUGAGAGGAUGAUCAGCCACACUGGAACUGAGACACGGUCCAGACUCCUACGGGAGGCAGCAGUGGGGAAUAUUGGACAAUGGGCGCAAGCCUGAUCCAGCCAUACCGCGUGGGUGAAGAAGGCCUUCGGGUUGUAAAGCCCUUUUGUUGAGAAAGAAAAGCAGCAGGUUAAUACCCCGCUGUUCUGACGGUACCCAAAGAAUAAGCACCGGCGAACUGCGU
rnacentral:rRNA from 1 species